rnacentral:rRNA from 1 species
UAGUGGCGAACGGGUGAGUAACACGUGGGCAAUCUGCCCUUCACUCUGGGACAAGCCCUGGAAACGGGGUCUAAUACCGGAUACGAGCUUCCCGGGCAUCUGGGAGGUUGGAAAGCUCCGGCGGUGAAGGAUGAGCCCGCGGCCUAUCAGCUUGUUGGUGAGGUAACGGCUCACCAAGGCGACGACGGGUAGCCGGCCUGAGAGGGCGACCGGCCACACUGGGACUGAGACACGGCCCAGACUCCUACGGGAGGCAGCAGUGGGGAAUAUUGCACAAUGGGCGAAAGCCUGAUGCAGCGACGCCGCGUGAGGGAUGACGGCCUUCGGGUUGUAAACCUCUUUCAGCAGGGAAGAAGCGAAAGUGACGGUACCUGCAGAAGAAGCGCCGGCUAACUACGUGCCAGCAGCCGCGGUAAUACGUAGGGCGCAAGCGUUGUCCGGAAUUAUUGGGCGUAAAGAGCUCGUAGGCGGCUUGUCACGUCGAUUGUGAAAGCCCGAGGCUUAACCUCGGGUCUGCAGUCGAUACGGGCUAGCUAGAGUGUGGUAGGGGAGAUCGGAAUUCCU